rnacentral:lncRNA from 1 species
CUCCCAACGACGAGCGUGAUUGACGGAGUGGCGUUUGAUUUAUAAACAAAAAUGUAGCAACACGUCUAUCUUCAUCUUCUUUUGUUUUUACAUUUACAUCUAAAUCAACACAAAAAUAAACUGUCGUCUGUUGUGUCACCUAUUAUCCCUUGUCAGUAUAUGCCAAAAUUAUUUGGUGUCGACUUCCGUUUACCUCUACAAUCCGAACACCUGUGAAAACCGAACAAAACGCAAAGUCCCGUGGCUGUUCGGUUUGGACAGGUUUCACUGUACUUUGAUUGGUUUCAUACAGAAAUUUUAGCUGUUGGUAUUCUAUCCUUUGCCUAGGGUGAUGUUUAAUCGUGGUUUGUAUUUAGGUGAUGAUAAAACAACCCAACAACAACAAAAACUACAGAUGUACACUUCAACAUUUUUGUCAAGAUUAUUAUGUUCCAAAUAUUAUUUGAGUUUUCUAGUUGUAAAAAUAACUUAAAUGCCAUCUGCUUCAGACACUUAUUUUGGAGGAGGGGCCUGAAAAUUAACUGGUAGAGGUUUCUUUUCUUAUCAAUCCAUGUAAAUGUUGUACAAACUAAAUAUUAAGUUAUGUCUAAAACACUUAUGCCUUCUGAAGGAGGUUAUCUGGUAGAUUUGUAAUACUUAUUAUUUUUUUUAAUUCAAGGGUCC